rnacentral:rRNA from 1 species
GAUGAACGCUGGCGGCGUGCCUAAUACAUGCAAGUCGAGCGAACAGAUGAGGAGCUUGCUCCUCUGACGUUAGCGGCGGACGGGUGAGUAACACGUGGAUAACCUACCUAUAAGACUGGGAUAACUUCGGGAAACCGGAGCUAAUACCGGAUAAUAUAUUGAACCGCAUGGUUCAAUAGUGAAAGACGGUUUUGCUGUCACUUAUAGAUGGAUCCGCGCCGCAUUAGCUAGUUGGUAAGGUAACGGCUUACCAAGGCAACGAUGCGUAGCCGACCUGAGAGGGUGAUCGGCCACACUGGAACUGAGACACGGUACAGACUCCUACGGGAGGCAGCAGUAGGGAAUCUUCCGCAAUGGGCGAAAGCCUGCCGGAGCAACGCCGCGUGAGUGAUGAAGGUCUUCGGAUCGUAAAACUCUGUUAUUAGGGAAGAACAAAUGUGUAAGUAACUAUGCACGUCUUGACGGUACCUAAUCAGAAAGCCACGGCUAACUACGUG